rnacentral:rRNA from 1 species
GGGGCUUCGAGCCCCUUGAAGGGUCGUUCAAGACCAGGACGUUGAUAGGUCAGGUGUGGAAGCGCAGUAAUGCGUUAAGCUAACUGAUACUAAUUGCCCGUAAGGCUUGAUCCUAUAACAG